CGACCGCUGGCGGCGUGCCUACUACAUGCACGUCGAGCGAAGUUUUUCUGGUGCUUGCCCUAGAAAAACUUAGCGGCGAACGGGUGAGUAACACGUAAAGAACCUGCCUCAUAGACUGGGACAACUAUUGGAAACGAUAGCUAAUACCGGAUAACAGUAUUUCUCGCAUGAGAGAUAUUUAAAAGUUGGUUAUGCUAACACUAUGAGAUGGCUUUGCGGUGCAUUAGCUAGUUGGUGGGGUAAAGGCCCACCAAGGCGACGAUGCAUAGCCGACCUGAGAGGGUGAUCGGCCACACUGGGACUGAGACACGGCCCAGACUCCUACGGGAGGCAGCAGUAGGGAAUCUUCCGCAAUGGGCGAAAGCCUGACGGAGCAACGCCGCGUGAGUGAAGAAGGAUUUCGGUUCGUAAAGCUCUGUUGUUAGGGAAGAAUGGAUAUGUAGUAACUAUACAUGUAAGAGACGGUACCUAACCAGAAAGCCACGGCUAACUACGUG
rnacentral:rRNA from 1 species